UACGUAGGGUGCAAGCGUUGUCCGGAAUUAUUGGGCGUAAAGAGCUCGUAGGUGGCCUGUCGCGUCGGCUGUGAAAACUCGGGGCUCAACUCCGAGCUUGCAGUCGAUACGGGCAGGCUAGAGUUCGGCAGGGGAGACUGGAAUUCCUGGUGUAGCGGUGAAAUGCGCAGAUAUCAGGAGGAACACCAAUGGCGAAGGCAGAUCUCUGGGCCGUAACUGACGCUGAGGAGCGAAAGCAUGGGGAGCGAACAGG
rnacentral:rRNA from 1 species